ensembl:lncRNA
GCUUUAUAUUAUACCAUAGGUCUCUUAUAUUGCCUUCAUGUUUUUUCAUUUGGUCUUCUGUCUGCUGUCCCGUUUGGGUGAUUUCCAUUAUUCUAUCUUCCACAUCACUAAUUCAUUCCUCUGCAUUAUUCAUUCUGCUCUUUAUUGUCUUUAGCCCAGUUUGCAUCUCUGCAAAUGAAUUUUGAAGUUUUUCUUGGUUCCUCAUUAUAUUUUCUAAUUCCUUUCUAAAGGAAUCUAUAUAACUGUUCAUAUCCUCUCUUAAUUCCUUGAUAUUCAGCCUUAAUUCCUUCAGUAUUUUCACUAUCUCCCUUUUGAACUCGAAGUCUGUCCCUCUGAACAGAAUGCAGAGGCUCUUUCAUUGUUGACUGCUUUAGGUGAAUUCUCCCAUUGCUUUAACUGGGAAUUGUUUCUGAGCUUCUUCAUCUUGCUUGUGUUUUUCUUUUUCUGUGAGUUUGGGGAAGCCAAACUGUAGACUUGUAAGGCUGCCUCUAUGCAAGAGCACUCAUUUGUAUUUUUGGGGAGGGUUACUAUUUAUUUUUGGUGUGGGAGUUUGAAUAUUUGCUGUCUCUUUCUUCAGUUUGAGCAGGCUGUUAUUCCCCAUGAUGCUCAGUGUAUUUUCAGGGAGAAGGAGGCAAUGGGUUGGGCCAGCAGUCAUUGCCUGGUCUUCAGGCUCUCAACAGCAGCAAGGACCUGCAGGAAGGUGGCACAGGUUACUCCUAUUUGCAGGGCCCUGGGAAGUGGUAAUCAGCUCUAGAAGGAUCUGCAAGGCAACCAGAGCAUUUGGCAGUAGCAAUAGCAGGGUGCAUGAGUUCCCAGAGGAGUGAGAGCAACAACAACUUGUAAUGGAUUGCAAUGCCCUCCUCUGAGGUAAUUGGAACCUCAGGUCGUGCCUGUUCAGGGACCCCUAGUGGUAGCAAGUCAUGACUGCCUCUGGAGUCAGUGAUAUCUGUGGCAGUUUGCCCCUGCCACCUGUAGACCUUGCAUGAAGCAACCCAUCUCACUUAGCCCACAUAGGAGGUGCAGCAGAGGCUGCUCCUAGCUGCAGGAUCCUGGGAAGUGACAUAGAUCAGGCGUGUGGGUACUGCCUGGAGCAUUUGGCAGUGGCAGCACAGGGCAGGUGUGUUCCCAGGGGUGCGAGAGCACCAACAAGUGGUGUUUGGUCACAGCAUCCUCCUUUAUGGGACCCUUGAGGUGAAUGGGGCUGCAAGUGGUGUCUGUUCAUGGACCCCUAGUGGUGGCAAGCCACACCCACCUCUCGAGUCAGAGAUAACUGUGGAUGUUUACCCCCACCACCUGCAGACCAUGUAAGAAGCACCCUGUCCCACUUAGCCCAUGCAGGAGGUGCUGCACCAGCUGCUCCUAGUUGUAGGGUCUUGUGUAGGGACAGUGACCAAGUGUCUGGGUGCCGUCCAGAGCAUUUGGCAGUGGCAGCUGCAGGGCAGGAGUGUUCCCAAGGGAGUGAGAACAACAGCGUAUGGUGCUUGGUUGCAGUGCCUUUUUUUUUUUUUGGCCAAUCCCUGAGAUGACUGGAGUCACAGGUGGAGCCCACUCACAGGCCCCCAGUGGUGGGAAGCCAUGCCUCCCUCUGGCCCCUGAGACAACCGCCAUGGUCUGUCCCUGCCCCCUGUAGAUCAUGCAGAGGCACCACAUUGCACUUAGCCCCCUGAUGCCCUUAGCCCACACAAGAUGAUCUGUGCAGCUCUCACUCUAACUUGCCCUCCUCUGCCCAGCUGCUGUGCUUUCCUCAGCAACUUUGAGGUCCCUCCAACUCGGCUGGUCUUUCCAUCAGGUGGUUUCCCAGGAUGUGGGUUCCUUUUCUCCAUCACAGCUCCCUCUCAGGAAUGCUAGUCCUGUCCUGAUUCCUUUUCUCUUUUCUUCUUUCGUUCUACCCAGUUUCCUUUCGUUCUACCAGUUAUGUCGAGAGUUUCCUGCCCGUUUAGGAGGUUUACGUUCUUCUGCCAGCAUUCAGUUGAUGUUCUGUGCGAGUCAUUUUACAUGCAGAUGUGUUGUUCUGAUGUGUUUGUGGGAUAAGGCGAGCAUGACCUCUUCUUACUCGUCUGCCAUCUUGCUCUGC